CCCUUAGAUGUUCUGGGCCGCACGCGUGCUACACUGAGUGGAUCAGCGGGUCAGGUUGCGCGAAAGUGUUUCCUAAUCUUGAAAUCCGCUCGUGAUGGGGAUUGACGGUUGCAAUUUUCCGUCGUGAACGAGGAAUACCUUGUAAGCGCGGGUCAUCAUCCCGCGCUGAAUACGUCCCUGCCCUUUGUACACACCGCCCGUCGCUCCUACCGAUUGAGUGGUCCGGUGAGGCUUUGGGAUCUGAGCAAAGAGAGCGUUUCGCUCGUUUUGCCCGGAAAACUCAGUCGAACCUUAUCAUUUAGAGGAAGGAGAAGUCGUAACA
rnacentral:rRNA from 1 species